AACGCACAUUGCGCCCGCCAGUAUUCUGGCGGGCAUGCCUGUUCGAGCGUCAUUUCAACCAUCAAGCCCUAGGCUUGUGUUGGGGCCCUGCGGCUGCCGCAGGCCCUGAAAAACAGCGGCGGGCUCGCUGUCACACCGAGCGUAGUAAAACAUCUCGCUUUGGACGUGCGGCGGGUUCUUGCCGUUAAACACCCCCCUUCUCAAGGUUGACCUCGGAUCAGGUAGGAAUACCCGCUGAACUUAA
rnacentral:misc_RNA from 1 species